GACGAACGCUGGCGGCGUGCUUAACACAUGCAAGUCGAACGGAAAGGCCCUGCUUUUGUGGGGUGCUCGAGUGGCGAACGGGUGAGUAGCACGUGAGUAACCUGCCCUCGACUUUGGGAUAACUUCAGGAAACUGGGGCUAAUACCGGAUAGGAGCUCCUGCUGCAUGGUGGGGGUUGGAAAGUUUCGGCGGUUGGGGAUGGACUCGCGGCUUAUCAGCUUGUUGGUGGGGUAGUGGCUUACCAAGGCUUUGACGGGUAGCCGGCCUGAGAGGGUGACCGGCCACAUUGGGACUGAGAUACGGCCCAGACUCCUACGGGAGGCAGCAGUGGGGAAUAUUGCACAAUGGGCGGAAGCCUGAUGCAGCAACGCCGCGUGCGGGAUGACGGCCUUCGGGUUGUAAACCGCUUUCGCCUGUGACGAAGCGUGAGUGACGGUAAUGGGUAAAGAAGCACCGGCUAACUACGUG
rnacentral:rRNA from 1 species